rnacentral:rRNA from 1 species
UACCAGCACCCCCGAGUGGUCGGGACGAUUAUUGGGCCUAAAGCAUCCGUAGCCGGUCCUGCAAGUCUUCCGUUAAAUCCAGCUGCUCAACAGAUGGGGCUGCGGAGGAUACUACAGGGCUAGGAGGCGGGAGAGGCAAGCGGUACUUUAUGGGUAGGGGUAAAAAUCCUUUGAUCCAUAGAAAGACCCACCAGUGGCGAAGGCGGCUU